rnacentral:rRNA from 1 species
CCCUUAGAGUUUGAUCCUGGCUCAGAGUGAACGCUGGCGGCAGGCCUAACACAUGCAAGUCGAACGGCAGCGGGCAGUAGCAAUACUGUGCCGGCGAGUGGCGGACGGGUGAGGAAUACAUCGGAAUCUACCCUGUCGUGGGGGAUAACGUAGGGAAACUUACGCUAAUACCGCAUACGACCCACGGGUGAAAGCGGCGGACCGCAAGGCGUCGCGCGAUUGGAUGAGCCGAUGUCCGAUUAGCUAGUUGGCGGGGUAAAGGCCCACCAAGGCGACGAUCGGUAGCUGGUCUGAGAGGAUGAUCAGCCACACUGGAACUGAGACACGGUCCAGACUCCUACGGGAGGCAGCAGUGGGGAAUAUUGGACAAUGGGCGCAAGCCUGAUCCAGCCAUGCCGCGUGUGUGAAGAAGGCCUUCGGGUUGUAAAGCACUUUUGUUGGGGAAGAAAAGACACCGGUUAAUACCCGGGGUUUCUGACGGUACCCAAAGAAUAAGCACCGGCUAACUUCGUGCCAGCAGCCGCGGUAAUACGAAGGGUGCAAGCGUUACUCGGAAUUACUGGGCGUAAAGCGUGCGUAGGUGGUUCGUUAAGUCAGAUGUGAAAGCCCCGGGCUCAACCUGGGAAUUGCAUUUGAUACUGGCGGGCUAGAGUGCGGUAGAGGAGAGUGGAAUUCCCGGUGUAGCAGUGAAAUGCGUAGAGAUCGGGAGGAACAUCAGUUGCGAAGCGGCUCUCUGGACCAGCACUGACACUGAGCACGAAAGCGUGGGGAGCAAACAGAUUA